CACUGACGCUCAUGGACGAAAGCCAGGGGAGCGAAAGGGAUUAGAUACCCCUGUAGUCCUGGCCGUAAACGAUGAACACUAGGUGUCGGGGGAAUCGACCCCCUCGGUGUCGUAGCCAACGCGUUAAGUGUUCCGCCUGGGGAGUACGCACGCAAGUGUGAAACUCAAAGGAAUUGACGGGGGCCCGCACAAGCGGUGGAGUAUGUGGUUUAAUUCGAUGCAACGCGAAGAACCUUACCAGGGUUUGACAUCCUGCGAACCUCUUGGAAACAGGAGGGUGCCUUCGGGAACGCAGUGACAGGUGGUGCAUGGCUGUCGUCAGCUCGUGUCGUGAGAUGUUGGGUUAAGUCCCGCAACGAGCGCAACCCACGUCUUUAGUUGCCAGCAUUUAGUUGGGCACUCUAGAGAGACCGCCGGUGAUAAACCGGAGGAAGGUGUGGAUGACGUCAAGUCAUCAUGCCCCUUACAUCCUGGGCUACACACGUACUACAAUGCUACGGACAGAGGGCAGCAAGUUCGCGAGGACAAGCAAAUCCCAUAAACCGUGGCUCAGUUCAGAUCGUAGGCUGCAACUCGCCUACGUGAAGGAGGAAUCGCUAGUAAUCGCAGGUCAGCAUACUGCGGUGAAUACGUUCCCGGGCCUUGUACACACCGCCCGUCACACCAUGGAAGUUGGCCACGCCCGAAGCCGUUACUCCAACCCUCGGGAGGAGGACGUCGAAGGUGGGGCUGAUGACUGGGGUGAAGUCGUAACAAGGUAGCCG
rnacentral:rRNA from 1 species